rnacentral:rRNA from 1 species
UACGAAGGGGGCUAGCGUUGUUCGGAAUUACUGGGCGUAAAGCGCACGUAGGCGGACUAUUAAGUCAGGGGUGAAAUCCCGGGGCUCAACCCCGGAACUGCCUUUGAUACUGGUAGUCUCGAGUCCGGAAGAGGUGAGUGGAAUUCCGAGUGUAGAGGUGAAAUUCGUAGAUAUUCGGAGGAACACCAGUGGCGAAGGCGGCUCACUGGUCCGGUACCGACGCUGAGGUGCGAAAGCGUGGGGAGCAAACAGG